rnacentral:rRNA from 1 species
CCUACGGGUGGCAGCAGUGGGGGAUAUUGCACAAUGGGGGAAACCCUGAUGCAGCGACGCCGCGUGAGCGAUGAAGUAUUUCGGUAUGUAAAGCUCUAUCAGCAGGGAAGAAAAUGACGGUACCUGACUAAGAAGCCCCGGCUAACUACGUGCCAGCAGCCGCGGUAAUACGUAGGGGGCAAGCGUUAUCCGGAUUUACUGGGUGUAAAGGGAGCGUAGACGGCAGUGCAAGUCUGAAGUGAAAGGCAAGGGCUCAACCCUUGGACUGCUUUGGAAACUGUGCUGCUGGAGUGUCGGAGAGGCAAGUGGAAUUCCUAGUGUAGCGGUGAAAUGCGUAGAUAUUAGGAGGAACACCGAUUGCGAAGGCAGCUCACUGGACUGCAACUGACACUGAGGCUCGAAAGUGUGGGUAUCAAACAGGAUUAGAUACCCGGGUAGUC